UAAAAAUCACUCAACACUCUGCGUCGUUAGCGGAGUUCAAGGGAAGAAGCUAUCCUGGCUUUUGAUGAUUCAUCCAAUGGAUCUUCUACCUAAGCCUCAACUCAGUUACUGAAUAUGAACAAGGAAUAUUGAUGAGGUACGAAGAGCUGUGCUCGGCGGCAGGGGGGAAGGCGGGGGACAGAUGGGCUCAUUGGACUUUUGAUGGGCUGUGGGGAGGAAGCUUUAAAGGUUUUCAUCAGCACAGUCGACAGCAGAGAGAUGAUGUCAUGGGUCAGGCUCAGAUACACAUCUAUUGAGGCCAAACCAAUUACUUUUAAAGCUGGGCAUCUUUCAAAAUGUUCCAUGGGGUUGAAGGCUGAACUUUCAUUCCACUCCCUGACAGGCAGAUGCUUGUCCUGGAGCCAUUACAACAUUGUCUUGACUGUAUGAUUAAGGUCACUGUCUUGCUGAAAGGUGAACUUUGCGCCCCCGUCUCAGUUCGCAUUAAACUGGAACAUGUUUUCCUCCAGGAUCUCUGUAUUUUUCAUCCAUCUCUAAUUCUUGGCUGCGGCCAAGAGUCUGAAUAAAUCUGUACUAAAAGUAUGUUAAUCUCAAAACUCAUGUUUGUCCUUGUCAUUAUAGAUUAUUGAGCAUGUAACUGACUCUUUUACUGCUUCAUGCUUUUCCAACACAGUGUGUAAAACGGCACACACUAAGCCCAUAAUGUAUAUAUAUACAGCUAUGCACAGUCUAUA